GUUUUUCUAGGACCCAGAGCCAACUUCACUCCCGCAGAGCACUGCACAGAGUUUAUUCAUGCAGAGUUUACUGAGCCGCCUGAGGGGACAUGGUCAAACCUCAUCUGCGAGAAGAAGUAUUGAUGCACCACCAGGGUGCUUCCGUCCUGAGAGCCACAUCCUGUCAGAUGCCAAGGAAACCCUGCCUGCAUGUACCUGAGGCUCUGAGGUGGGGCCUUUGGAGGCCACCCCCCCCCCAUGUCUGCCCACACAACAGAGGCUGUCCAUCUGAAAAACAAACAAGAAGGCACCCAGUGGUGCCUCUUCUGGAUGUUCCUACAGAAUCAAUGUCUUCCCAGGAGUCCUCAGCUAACACCAGUCAGUCCUCCAAGAGCUGGAGCAAGAGAGCUCCAAGAGGCAUUUUCAGAUGGAUAAGGAGCCUGGAGCUGCUGAGGCCACCCCCGCACCCUGUCAGGCAUUGCCAGGGAUGACUGCGGAGGGCCCGGGAUACUGCCUACAUCAACACGGUGACAUUUCUGUAAUCUGAGGCCGGGUGGCCCCCUCUCUGCGGCUGACUGCAGCAGGAAUCUCCACUCUCAGCCAUCCGUUCUGGUGACCAGAAGCCCAGGCCGUCCCCUUUGAGAAUAGAGAUAUACCCACAGUGCGUGGGGGCUCCUUAAAUCAGUCGUUGACACCUCAGUGUGAACCUGCUCAUUAUACCAAGAGUGAGCACCUGCUGUGUGCCAAGCACUAUUUCCAGGCACUCGGAAAAUAGUAGUGAACGAAAUGGGCAGAAAUCUCCUCUUUCUUUUACAUUACAUUCCGCUGCGAGGAGUCAGAACAAUAAACAUGAUAAAUAGGUAAGUUCUGUAGUUGAU
rnacentral:lncRNA from 12 species